GACAGAGGGUGCAAACGUUGUUCGGAAUUACUGGGCGUAAAGCGCGUGUAGGCAGUUUCGCAAGUCGGGUGUGAAAGCCCUGGGCCCAACCUAGGAAGUGCACUCGAAACUGCGAGACUUGAGUCCUGGAGAGGAAGGCGGAAUUCUCGGUGUAGAGGUGAAAUUCGUAGAUAUCGAGAGGAACACCGGUGGCGAAGGCGGCACUCUGGGCCGGUACUGACGCUGAGGAGCGAAAGCCAGGGGAGCAAACGGG
rnacentral:rRNA from 1 species